AUUCUUAAUUUUUAAAGCGGUGUAACGCGAACUGCAUGACUUUUAUUCGCGUUCUUUAGAUAUCGCCGUUGAUCAUGCGCAGGUGUUAAUAUCGAGUUCCCAAUCGUUCAAUUAACGCUCACCUGUGAAUGUAAUCGGCCGUGUAAAGGGGAAAGUCGAAAUUAACGACGUGCUUGACCGUCGCAGUGUCGAGUCCCCUGGAACAAGCAUCAGUCGUAACGAGAACGAAGGUGUGACCCCUCUGAAAUUCAGCAAAUCUAUCCAACCGCACUUUCGCCGGUAAGGUGCCAUGAGUGUAGGAGCAGUUCACACUCAUAUCGCUUAAAAACAGGUACACCCAUUCACAAGACUUCUUGGUGUUG